UACGGAGGGGACGAGCGUUGUUCGGAAUUACUGGGCGUAAAGCGCACGUAGGCGGAUUUGUAAGUCAGGGGUGAAAUCCCGGGGCUCAACCUCGGAACUGCCUUUGAUACUGCAAAUCUCGAGUCCGGAAGAGGUGAGUGGAAUUCCUAGUGUAGAGGUGAAAUUCGUAGAUAUCUGGAGGAACACCGGUGGCGAAGGCGGAUCUCUGGGCCAUUACUGACGCUGAGGAGCGAAAGCGUGGGGAGCGAACAGG
rnacentral:rRNA from 1 species